rnacentral:rRNA from 1 species
GACGAACGCUGGCGGCGUGCUUAACACAUGCAAGUCGAACGAAGUGGCGCACGGGUGAGUAACGCGUAAUCAACCUGCCCUUCAGAGGGGGACACCAGUUGGAAACGACUGCUAAUACCGCAUACUGAAGGUGGGGUAUGCGUCUGAUUAGCUAGGUGGAGGGGUAACGGCCCACCAAGGCGACGAGCAGUAGCCGGACCGAGAGGAUGAACGGCCACAUUGGGACUUGGAAACGGCCCAGACUCCUACGGGGAGGAGCAGUGGGGAAUCUUCCGCAAUGGACGAAAGUCUGACGGAGGAACGCCGCGGGAGGGAUGACGGCCUUCGGGUUGGAAAGCUCUGUUAAUCGGGACGCGGUACCGGAAUAGAAAGCCACGGCUAACUACGUGCCAGCAGCCGCGGUAAUUC